rnacentral:lncRNA from 1 species
AUGCUCCGGCUCCAUGUCCAGAACACCAUGGGCCUGCUCUGCAGCCAGAGCCAGCACCAGAGAAGGAGCCUCCUCUGGAGACAGGAGAGAAGCAGAAGCCAGCUCCACAGCACUCCUGCCUCUCUGCUGCCGCUGACAAGGACAGGCCCUUGCAGAAGGGGAGCGAGGAGCUUCCGGGGUGCAGAAGCCCAGCAGAGGCGGCCCCCCUACAGGCCUCCUCCCGGACCAGGACAGCGGGGACACUGCCACGCAGAGGACCGUGUGGAAGCCAGGAGAGCGGCUCAGAGCGCGGGCGAACAGGAAGGGAGGAAGCCGGGACCAGCGCGGCGCAGAAUGCACUCUCCCUGUCAGCUCGGCGCAGCCACCGGGGUCCCUGAGAGAGAGGCCUUGGGGACGGGACGAGGAAGGAAGCGCGGAAGGCCCCGGGCCACAGGAAGGCAGAGCGCCAGGGCGGCGAACAGCUCACUUGAGACCCCCCUGUGCCCGCAGCCACCGGGGUCCCUGAGAGGCCUUCGGGACAAGGAAGGAAGAGCCUGUCGCAGGACGCGGAAGGCCCCGGGCCACAGUAAGGCAGAGAGCCAGGGCGGCGAACAGCUCGCUUGAGAGCCCCCUGUGCCACUGCGGAGGAGCUCAGCUCAGGCGCCCAGCGGAGCCCCUCAGGGCGAUGAUCCCAGCGGGGCGUCACUGUGGCCCCAGGAACAAACCAUCAGAUAACCGGGAAAGGGCAGGGUCCUCCUAUGCAGAGGAGUAAGGAGUGCUUGUUGGAGAUGCUCCGCCCUCUGGGGAGCCCAGGUCCCCGCCCGCCCUUGCUCGGAGCUGUGCCAGGCCAGCAUUCUCUCGGUUUUCCUGGAAGCUAAACCUCUUCCAAACAAAAGUUAAUCAAGAAAUUUAAAGACCUACAUUUAACAAGCAAAAGUUCAGGGUGUGAUAUCUAAGGUCACUACGGAAAAACCAGAGACCAGAUACAUCACUCCUAACUGCAAGAGAAAAGGAAAAGUCAGGUGUGGUGGUGCUUCCCAGCAAUCUCAGAUCUCGGACACGGAGCAAGACCUAUUCUCUCUCUCUCUCUCUCUGAAAAAGAAACAGUGAGGUGAAUUACUUCUGAAGAAAUAACGAAAAGCUUCCAGCCUACUUCGAGGAAGCAAGACAGAGAGGAAGACAGAAUAAGGUGGUAGAAAUAAGCACGAAUAUACGAACAUGUUCUCUUUCCCCUGGCAACCUGAGUGCGGGAUCUCAGCGCAGGGCUCUGCUGCCCUCCGGUGGCCGCUCGGUGUCACUGCACGCCCCGCCUGCUCUGGUCCCAGGAGGAGAGAGCUCCAGCUUGGGAAGCUGACCUGCAGGGAUGCGCGCCCCUCCUCCUGCCCCCAAGGUCACCCUCCCAUCCCCCUCCCUUGGGGACAGUUUAGAGCUACCUGUCCGCAGAGCCUCACGCACUCACAAGCCGCCUCUGGGAGGCGAUGGCCUCAUGGGCCUGGUACACCUGGGUUGUCAGGAGGUGGGAUCUGGGCUGAGACAAAUCGCCUGGUUCAGGGCCCGGAAGCCUUCAUCUCACUGCCUCUGCUCCCUGGACUCUGCUUUCUGUCUGCCAGGCCCCUCUGCCAUGCCGCGCUGCCUUCGAGCUGCUGACUAGGCACUGAAACCUCUCCCAAGUGCGAGCCGAGAUAAACCUCUCCUCGGUUAACUUGUGUGUGUCCCCGGUAACGUGUCUCGGUGACCAAGUCACUCCCCUCGAGGUCCUGCCCUUGACACCUGCACGGCACGUGAGUGACACCUCUCGGGGGCAGGUCCAACCUUGGCUCUUGGGGAGGUUCUGGAGACGCGGUGGGGCAGCCCCCGGUGAGUCCUGGACGGGUCUAGGCCCCUGCCCCCCGUGUGUGGUCAAAAACAGUAGGGUGUGUGGGUGCAGGAGUGGCUCUGCCUGUGUCCGACGCUCUCCACAAGGCCCCGGCAGCUUCCCGGCCGCACCUGUGCCCACCUCAGCCUGAGGGUGUGGGCCCACCUGAGCCACACUAGAGCUCCUGACCUGGCAAGACCCGUGGGGUCCUGAGCCUUCCACGAGCUCUAGAAAGGCUCCAUCGGUCUCUGGGAGGGCCUGACUCCCCUGCUGCUCAGCCACCACACAGCGCCCAGUCAUGGCCUGUCCUCCUGGGAUUUCUU